rnacentral:lncRNA from 1 species
AUUUUAACUGUCAUCGGCAGAAACUCUGGGAGCUGGUGGAGAAUGGAGUCUAGAGAAAGCCCUACUGGCCAGGACCUUCUCUGUUGCUCCUCUCUCCACAGUGAGGCCGCCGGCUGUCCCUGCCGACACCAGAGCUCGGCACACUCUCUGCUGUUUUUUGAGCUUGCAGCUUGGGCUGGUGCUGAGAUGCUGGAAUGGCUUCCACUCCUUUUGCAAGGAAUUGAAGGGCUUGGCCAGGGUAUAGGGUCAGACCUCAACCCCCUCCAAGACGUGGGACUUUGAGCUGACCUGGAGAGUUUAUUUCUCCUUCCCUUCUCCCCGUACCCCAGACUCUUCUCAUUGGAGACUAGCAUUUUCCCUCUUUCUUCCAGCCCCUCUCCUCAACCAUUCUCCUAUAUCCAACCCUGACGUUAGCUACUUCCCAACUCCGCGGUGGGGAACUGGACCCUGUCAGGUGAUGGUUCUAAAUCUGUCCCCAAGGUCUGAGAGGAGCAGUUCCUUCCUCUUCAUAUGAAAACAGUCAUCUAACAGGGCUCUGGGUGACUCUCAUGUGCCCUGGGCAGUGGCACAUACAAGUUCAUCAAGUCUUAAGCAAUAAACAGGAAGUGGAUGGUAGGAUAUUAAAGUUGGGCAGUUGCCACACAGUUUUUUCUUCUUGGCUCAUGUUUGAGAGUUUCUGUGACUACAGAUCUCUCAUAGAGGCAUAUCGAUAUCAAGGAAUAUUUAACAAGUGACUGAUGUAUUUUAUCUGCUGUAACUUAGCUUGACCAGGAAAGAAAAUGGAUGGGCUGGCAAUUGGAACAUGAAGAAAGGUAUUUAGAAUGAACUAUUACCAUUCCAUUACCAUUACCAAAAACAUUCUAAAUCUUAAGCCAUUACCAGCCAUAGUGGUCCCAUGCUAUGCAGUCAUUGUGAGAACUGUACUGGGAUCAGAGCAGGUGCCCCAGAGCAGGGUCUGGGGCAGGAAGACCCUGGCGAGGCUGCCGCAGGAGGGAGACUCACGAUUCCCCAGGAAUUCAGGUGUAAUGGAUGGUACUCCAGUAGCCAUUUUGGACCAUGAGAUGACCUUUGGAAUGGAAGCUGCAUGUGGCAAAGCAAACUUCACAAGGAGCCUGGGUUUCUGUCACCAAACCAUCCCUGAACUGCUUAGCUCUGGACUUAUUACAAUAGAGAGACCUAAAUAUUUGCCCUACUUAAGCCACUGUUAUUUUGGGUUUUCUCUUCCUUUGGCCAAACUUAAUUCUAAAUAAUGUAGCAUCCACUGGGCACUUCACAUCCACUGUCUCACAGAACAUCUGCAACGCCUCUGUGAAGUUCCAGAACUGCUCGUCCCAUCCCCAGUCGUGCUCCACCCCAAUCCACUCUCUCAGGAAUGGCCUGAUUGAAUCUUCCCACAUAAAUCGCCUCACAGCACCUCUGCAUGGAAUCUUUCCAUGGUGUUUUGGUUAUCUAAUGCUAGAUAACAAAUCACCUCAAAACACUGGCUUAAGAAACAAUAAUUUCAGCUUCUGUUGGUCAGGAAUUCGGGAAGGAGUCAGACUGGCAGCUCUCACCUGGGGUCUCUCGAAUGGUUGCAGUCGGAAGUUGGCUGGGGCGGGCUGCCGUCACCUGGAGACCAGACAGGGCUCUCCAUCCAUAGAGCAUCCAUAGAGCGCCCCUCAGAUGGCUCGCCCACACACCCGGGGA